GACACCUCUGGAUGGACAGAAACAGGAAGAGUCACCUUUGAAACCAAGGAAAUUGCAACUUAUUUCUUUCAAAUGUCCCACAUUUGAUCAAACACAAUAGCCUUCUGUCUACACGGCUGUCUAGUCAUGAUGAUGCAGCAGCGCCAUCUGCUGGUAUGCGGCCAUUGUAGACUGCCUUUUGUGUUAACGUCGGCGUUAAUGGAAACAGAUACUUUGAAAUCCCGCGAGAACAUCAAAGCUGCAGAUGAUUCCGGGGAUCUGUGGUGACAUCUGCCCCGCACAUACAUGCCCCAUCUCAAACUUUUUACCGUACCGGGUCAAUAAAGUGCCAGCAAUGGCUACAUCCUCAACCCCCAGCCUCCCACAAGAUGAUGGUCUGUGGAUAUUUCUUCGCAACAGAGGUGUUCCUGAGGAGAGUAUUGAGAAAAUGCAGCAGGAUCAUAUUGACAGCUCGAUAAUUGGAGAAAUAGAUGCUGCCACUAUGGCUUCUUACAUUCCAGCCUAUGGUGACAGGAUUGAGACAAGGCGUUGGUGUAUGGAAAAACAGAGAAGAGAUGGGGAUGAUACAAAAAGACUGUCCUUAUUUGAAAAGCUUAAAAAAAAAAUGGGCACAAUGAGCAACAAGGACAGCGACCAAGGUUUCAAAGGGGGUGAAUACAGUGCAACCAACAAUUAUGCAUCUAAGAAGUAGUAAGAGAGCCUGGAAGGUAACCAGAAAAAUAGAAUUAGGGUGGAUAUAUGACGACAGACAGGUCAGAAAACGCAGUGGUGGAGGAACCAGAGUUCUUGAGCAAGAAUGCCACUAAAGCUGAGAUUCUGUCACAAGCUAAAAAGCUGUUCUUUCCUAAUGAAAAGUCAAUGAUGGGAAAGUGGGAAGAGUUCAGUCACGAUAUAGUUAACACAGCACAAGUUGAUGAGGAUGUUAGUGUGGGAGACUACUACGAGACACACAAAUUGGGGUUGUUAAGAUUUUAUUUGUUCACAAAGACCCUGACCAGUGGAGAUGACCCAGAGGAAGGAGCUGAUAUACAGACAGAUGAGCAACAUGAAAACACAACAGAAUCUGGACAAGAUAAACACACAGUGGGGUUGAGCAGCUGACAUCGAAAUGACAUAACACUGGAAAUCAAAUACACACAGUCGAAGAUGAUGAGCAAAGCACUGCCACAAUGUCAGCUGUUGUCUCUAUUGCCCUAACCCUAACCCUAACCCUAUCAGAUUAUUGAUCUUACAUCUUUGUCUAAUACAUCAGAGGUCAUUUUUGGUGCUUUGACAGGUGGGCCAUUUUUAAGUGAUCUUGAUGAUACAUUCAUACAUGAGCCAAUCUUAUCAAUAGAAGAGGAACAAAUAAACACCCCCACCUACACCUCGACUCCUAUUGAUUCUGAGACAGCUUCUGUUAGACCACCAAGUCUUGCCAGUGGACUUUUGCAUGUGACUGUGAAACUUCACAGAGUGACUCUCUUAGAUGAACUGAUUGCUCAAUUCAAGGAUGAAGCAAUGAUGACCUACUCUGUGAAAUACAGCUUUGUUGAUGAAAUGGGGGCAGAUGCUGAUGGUGUGUCCAGGGAUGCAUAUGCUGCCUUUUGGACAGAAUUCCUAGACUGUGCAGCAGAAGGUGCAGAUGUGAGGGUGCCAUCACUAUCCCCAAAAUUGCAAGAGGAGGAAUGGAAGUCUGUUGGUAGAAUAUUGGCCAAGGGACUGAAGCACCAUGGGUAUUUUCCAUUUCGGCUGGCACAAGCCUUUACAGCAGCAGUCAUAUUUGGUGAACACUCUGUUUCUCCUGAUUUAAUGUUUGACUCCCUGAUGUUGUAUCUUAGUCAGUCUGAGCGUGAUCUCUUGUCCACUGCUUUGCAAGAGGCUGUUGUCGGGGAUGGCGAGGAAGAACUUCUUGAUCUUAUGGAUUGCACGGGAGUAAGAACAGUACCAACACAAGGUAACUUGAGAGCCAUGCUUGUCCAGGUCGCACACAAGCAAAUGAUCCAGCACCCAAAAUAUGCACUGGAUAAUAUUGCAGAGGUUGCAAGACCAAUUCUCAGGAAGUUUUUCCCAAGUGUACAGGAUAUGAAGAAGCUGUAUGAGGACAUUAAACCAACAACACGAAAGGUAAUUAACAGCUUUUCCAGCUAAUUCAGCAGAAAACCUGAGUUUGAGGUUUUUCCAUCAGUACAUAAGGGGAUUGGAUGAAAUAGGUCUCCGGAAGCUGAUGAGAUUUCUGACUGGGUCUGACGUCAUCUGUGUAAAAGAAAUUCAAGUCACAUUCACCUCUUUGGAAGGGCUAGCGCGGCAGCCAAUUGCCCAUACUUGUGGCCCAACUGUGGAGCUGCCAUCAACUUACAACAGCCCUGAGCUUCGAGCUGAAAUGGAGGCUAUGUUGUCCAGCAACACUUAUGCAAUGGACAUUGCAUAGGUGACUUACAAAAACAUACACAUUUUUCUCUUCCUCAUCACUGGGUGUGAUGUAGGUUUAGACUGUGUGAAUGUGGGAUACAGCAUGUAAGGAGAAAAUGUCAGGUGCUGUGUGAUUAGUGCAAAAUUUCUUUUAUUACAUUUCAAGAUUUUGGUUUUAUUAUAUCAAGAAACAAUAACUUACUUUGUUUUAAGACACUUUUUGUUGUCAGAGCAUGUAAGGAGAAUAUGUGACUAGCUCAGGGGCUGUGUGAUAAGCACAGAUUGAUUUUUUAUUUUGGAUAUUUUCUUUCUAUCAUACUAAGAAACAGUUAAGAAUUUACUUUGAUUUAAGACACUUUUGCUAUCAGUCUAGGAUGAGAAUGUUUGGACAUUAAAAAUACUUUUAUUAUAUUUUCACUGUUAAAUCAUAAUAAUAUUUGAAUCUCUACCUCAUGUCAGAUGUUGAUAAUGACAGCGUUUGUGAAUCUGCUCGUCACAUUAAAACGUACUUUGAGGUGUUUUUUUUGUUGUUGUUUUUUUACAAAUAGAAUCACAAGUCUUGUUUUGUACAACUGUCUUCAAACAGAUUAUGUCUUUGCUGUUGAGUCAUGUGGUUCAGGAGUCCUGCUCUGUGAGACAUGAUAUGUUUCCAUCCAUGGAACAUUGGACAUGUUCCAUUUCCUGAGAGUUUACUGACAACUGCAUUUUAACGUAAAUCUAUGAGUGACAUAGAAAUAGAAAGAGGAUAUACAGACCACAAAUAGGAGAUGUCCAUUAGUAAAGAGUUCACAGUCAGAAAUUCAUGGUCCAUAAGAUUUUCUACCCUUGCGUGGAGGCUUACAUCCAGUCAUUUGAUCCAGUAGAGCAGGUUGUGAUAAUUAAAUUUGAGCUUGUAUGUAAGCACAUAAGAACAUGUAAAGCUCAAUGACUUCCUCUGGAGAGGUGGGUGGAUGAAGACUGUUUUCUGCCAUGGCAAGGCAGCAAAUGUCAAACACUGUAUCAUCGCAGGGAUACGGUCCUCUCUGAAGGCAUUCCUCUCUGCAGGCUUCUAUCUUUGGUUGCGAUACGUCUUUCAGGUACUCUCUGGCACCAAAAAGUUGCAGUAGGGUGUACAUCAUCACU